CCUACGGGUGGCAGCAGUGGGGAAUAUUGGGCAAUGGGCGCAAGCCUGACCCAGCAACGCCGCGUGAAGGAAGAAGGCUCUCGGGUUGUAAACUUCUUUUAUCAGGGACGAAGCAAGUGACGGUACCUGAUGAAUAAGCCACGGCUAACUACGUGCCAGCAGCCGCGGUAAUACGUAGGUGGCAAGCGUUAUCCGGAUUUACUGGGUGUAAAGGGCGUGUAGGCGGGAAAGCAAGUCAGAUGUGAAAACCAUGGGCUCAACCUGUGGCCUGCAUUUGAAACUGUUUUUCUUGAGUACUGGAGAGGCAGACGGAAUUCCUAGUGUAGCGGUGAAAUGCGUAGAGAUUAGGAGGAACACCAGUGGCGAAGGCGGCUUUCUGGACUGAAACUGACGCUGAGGCACGAAAGCGUGGGGAGCGAACAGGAUUAGAUACCCUAGUAGUC
rnacentral:rRNA from 1 species